rnacentral:rRNA from 1 species
AUUGAACGCUGGCGGCAGGCCUAACACAUGCAAGUCGAGCGAGUGGCGGACGGGUGAGUAAUGUCUGGGAAACUGCCUGAUGGAGGGGGAUAACUACUGGAAACGGUAGCUAAUACCGCAUACCAUCAGAUGUACCCAGAUGGGAUUAGCUUGUAGGUGGGGUAAAGGCUCACCUAGGCGACGCUCCCUAGCUGGUCUGAGAGGAUGACCAGCAACACUGGAACUGAGACACGGUCCAGACUCCUACGGGAGGCAGCAGUGGGGAAUAUUGCACAAUGGGCGCAAGCCUGAUGCAGCCAUGCCGCGUGUAUGAAGAAGGCCUUCGGGUUGUAAAGUACUUUCAGUGGGGAGGCGUUACCCGCAGAAGAAGCACCGGCUAACUCCGUGCCAGCAGCCGCGGUAAUAC